rnacentral:lncRNA from 10 species
AGUGCUAUGAUGAACAUGUAUGUGUCUUUAUGAUAGAAUGAUUUUAUUCCUUUGGGUAUAUACCCAGUAAUGGGAUUGCUAGGUCAGAUAUUAGUUCUAUUAUAAGUUCUUUGAGAAAUCUCCAAACUGCUCUCCACAGUGGCUGAACUAGUUUACAUUCUCACCAGCAGUGUAUAAGCAUUCACUUUUCUCUGCAACCUCACCAGCAUCUGUUAUUUUUUGACUUUUUAAUAAUAGCCAUUCUGCCCAGUGUGAGAUGGUAUUGCACCAUGGUUUUGAUUUCCAUUUCUCUAAUGAUCAGUGAUGUGGAACAUUUUUUCAUAUGCUUGUUGGCCACAUGUAUGUCUUCUUUUAAGAAGUAUCUGUUCAUAUCCUUUGCCCGUUUUUUAAUGGACUUGUUUGUUUUUUUCCUCAGGCCCCUUUUACAACGGCACUAAUCCCAUUCAUAAGAGUAGAGUCCUCAUGACUUAAUCAUCCCCCAAGGGCCCCACCUCCUAAUACCAUCACCUGCAGAUUAGGAUUUCAACGUAUGAAUUUUGUGGGGGGACAUAAACAUUCAGACCAUAGCACUAAUCCCAGAACGUUCUAUGUCAUUUCCUCUCUCUAACGCCUUCCACUGCACCCCAUUGCUCCUGUGAGAAAUAUCAGAUUCCUCAAGUUGGUGUAUCAUCUUUUACAACAUAACAACAAAUUACGCCCAUGCAAUCAGCUUAACAUGACAAAAUCAUUUUCUCACAGUUUCCGAGGUCAAAAUUCUUUGAGCAGCCUGGUUGAGUGUUUCUGGCUCAGGUUUUCUCAUGAGAUGUAGUCAGGCUGACAGCUGGGGCUGCUGCAUCCUGAAGGCUUCAACUGGGGCUAAGGAUCUGCUUCCAAGAUGGCUCCCUCCCAGGGCUGUUGGCAGGAGGCCUCAUUUCCUUACCACAUGGGCUUUCCACAGGGUUGCCUGAGUGUUCUUACAUGGCAGCUGGAUUCCCCCAGAGAGAGUGAUGACAAAGAAAGAGACAAGCUCUUAAACAUCCAACUGUUUGAGUCAGAGGGUCUGUGA